AAGCUAUGUUUUUGACCUUUCUAACAAAAUAUCCAUCUGAAAUUUAGAAAAAGCUGGCAAUAGUAAUGCCAUGAUACCCUUAAGAACAAUCACAGUCAUUAAGGUCCCUGAAAAUGACCACAACA
rnacentral:snoRNA from 1 species